rnacentral:rRNA from 1 species
CUACGGGUCGCACCAGUGAGGAAUAUUGCACAAUGGGGGGAACCCUGAUGCAGAAACGCCGCGUGGAGGAUGACGCAUUUCGGUGUGUAAACUCCUUUUAUAUGUCAAGAAAAUGACGGUAGCAUAUGAAUAAGCACCGGCUAACUCCGUGCCAGCAGCCGCGGUAAUACGGAGGGUGCAAGCGUUACUCGGAAUCACUGGGCGUAAAGGACGCGUAGGCGGGUUGGAAAGUCAGGUGUGAAAUCCUACAGCUUAACUGUAGAACUGCACUUGAAACUUCUAAUCUAGAGUAUGGGAGGGGGAGAUGGGAUUAGUGGUGUAGGGGUAAAAUCCGUAGAUAUCACUAGGAAUACCUAAAGCGAAGGCGAUCUCCUGGAACAUUACUGACGCUAAGGCGUGAAAGCGUGGGGAGCAAACAGGAUUAGAUACCCCUGUAGUC